GGAAGUCUUCGGGGCAGGGUGAUAUGCGAAGCAUAGAUUCCCGACCGACGGUGAUUGUGCAUGACACAUUAGUCCGUGAACUGUAGUAUUGCAGUUGAUUUGGUGAAAAUCCAAAACCGACAGUAUAGUCUGGAUGGGAGAAGAUAAGU
rfam:Roseburia sp. CAG:45 genomic scaffold, scf85